AGCGAACGCUGGCGGCGUGCUUAACACAUGCAAGUCGAACGUGAAAUGUAGCAAUACAGAGUAAAGUGGCGUACGGGUGAGUAACACGUGGGUAAUCUACCUUAGAAUCUGGAAUAACCGGCCGAAAGGCUGGCUAAUACUAGAUAGUUCAAGUGCACUGUAAUUGGUGCGAUUGGGAAAGGGAGCGCGCAAGCGCCUUUGUUCUAAGAUGAGCCCGCGUCUGAUUAGCUAGUUGGUAAGGUAAUGGCUUACCAAGGCGAUGAUCAGUAGCUGGUCUGAGAGGAUGAUCAGCCACACUGGAACUGAAACACGGUCCAGACUCCUACGGGAGGCAGCAGUGGGGAAUCUUGCGCAAUGGACGAAAGUCUGACGCAGCCACGCCGCGUGAGUGAAGAAGGCCUUCGGGUUGUAAAGCUCUGUCGGAGGGGACAAAAACCUCUAUGGUUAAUAGCCAUAGAGCUUGAUGGUACCCUUAAAGGAAGCACCGGCUAACUUCGUGCCAGCAGCCGCGGUAAUACGAAGGGUGCAAGCGUUGCUCGGAAUUAUUGGGCGUAAAGGGUAGGUAGGUGGUGACAUUUGUCUGGGGUGAAAUCCCUGAGCUUAACUCAGGAAGUGCCUUGGAAACGGUGUCACUAGAGUGCUGGAGAGGUUCGCAGAAUUCUUGGUGUAGCGGUGAAAUGCGUAGAGAUCAAGAGGAAUACCAGAGGCGAAGGCGGCGAACUGGACAGUUACUGACACUGAACUACGAAAGCGUGGGGAGCAAACAGGAUUAGAUACCCUGGUAGUCCACGCUGUAAACGAUGGGUACUAGGAUUGGUGGGAGUUGACCCCUGCCGAUCCGGAGCU
rnacentral:rRNA from 1 species